rnacentral:rRNA from 1 species
UACAGAGGGUGCAAGCGUUGUUCGGAAUUACUGGGCGUAAAGGGCUCGUAGGUGGCCAACUAAGUCAGACGUGAAAUCCCUCGGCUUAACCGGGGAACUGCGUCUGAUACUGGAUGGCUUGAGUUCGGGAGAGGGAUGCGGAAUUCCAGGUGUAGCGGUGAAAUGCGUAGAUAUCUGGAGGAACACCGGUGGCGAAGGCGGCAUCCUGGACCGACACUGACGCUGAAGAGCGAAAGCCAGGGGAGCAAACGGG